UUCAGGGAUGCCUGAGAUAGAAACAGAGACCAAUCCCAUAGACCGAACUGUGGCUCAUUUGCUCUUUCAUAGGCCUUUGGAGUCGCCAGGAAAACAUCCCGAUACCCCUGAAUCACCUAUUUCCGCAAAGCUUCCGUGCGAACGCAAAGCAGCAGGCUUAGCGAACUUGCCAAUGGGGUACUUGCUAGAGAGUUCAAAGAGUAAACAUAACUUUCCUCACCAGGGAUCUAAGAAUUCUUGCCCAUUGGCUGAGUCCCAACAUGCCGAUCAGUUUAAAAGCAGUCCUUGCAUAGACACUUCAGAGAACGCUUCAAACAAUGAGCCUGCAGAUGGUGGAGCUAUGGAGGUUGAAGCCUCUAAAUGAAUGGAGAUAUUUUUCAGAAUUCUAUUAGGCCUUUGGGAUCUUUAUCAAGUUUGGAUUGUGGAACCUCAAACAUCAUUAUAAUGGAAGACCCUAGAAAAAUUGUGCCCGUGCAUGUUUCAAGUAGUAUGUUCAAUAUAACUAUGUAUCUCUGUUUGAAGGUUGACUGGUCUGUAUCCUUAUGGUGAUGAAUGUUGAGUGUGUGAUUUAAUAUGUAAUAUGUCUGAUGCGUGAAAGAGCGGUACUACUUAAUAUCUUUAAGUCUUGGCAGAUACAUACAUGCCAAUUAUGUGACUUUGGCCACUAACUAAUAUUCUGAAAACUUCAUUAAGAAAUUGUUGUGCUGUAUGCUUAUCAUAAACAUAGUCUCUUAUGAUAAGAUCUUGAUUUUGUUAGGAUUCUGAAUAUAUGACUGGUUUUGGAGA